rnacentral:rRNA from 1 species
AUAAUGACGGUACCUGAUGAAUAAGCACCGGCUAACUCCGUGCCAGCAGCCGCGGUAAUACGGGGGGUGCAAGCGUUACUCGGAAUCACUGGGCGUAAAGGACGCGUAGGCGGAUUAUCAAGUCUUUUGUGAAAUCUAGUGGCUUAACCACUAAACUGCUUAGGAAACUGAUAGUCUAGAGUAGGGGAGAGGUAGAUGGAAUUCUUGGUGUAGGGGUAAAAUCCGUAGAGAUCAAGAAGAAUACCCAUUGCGAAAGCGAUCUGCUGGAACCUAACUGACGCUGAGGCGUGAAAGCGUGGGUAGCAAACAGGAUUAGAUACCCUGGUAGUCCACGCCCUAAACGAUGUAUACUAGUUGUUGCUUUGCUAGUCAAGGCAGUAAUGCAGCUAACGCAUUAAGUAUACCGCCUGGGGAGUACGGUCGCAAGAUUAAAACUCAAAGGAAUAGACGGGGACCCGCACAAGCGGUGGAGCAUGUGGUUUAAUUCGAAGAUACGCGAAGAACCUUACCUGGACUUGACAUCCUAAAAACAUCUAAGAGAUUAGAAAGUGCUAGUUUACUAGAAUUUAGUGACAGGUGCUGCACGGCUGUCGUCAGCUCGUGUCGUGAGAUGUUGGGUUAAGUCCCGCAACGAGCGCAACCCACGUGUUUAGUUGCUAACAGCUCGGCUGAGCACUCUAAACAGACUGCCUUCGUAAGGAGGAGGAAGGUGUGGACGACGUCGAGUCAUCAUGGCCCUUAUGUCCAGGGCGACACAC